GUUGCAGUUAAAAAGCUCGUAGUUGGAUUUCUGGAUGGUAGGCUCGGUCGCUGCUUCCGCAGUGUACUAGUAGCUUUUACCGUCUCAUCUUUGUGGGAAUGUCUUCUGCUAUUAGGUUAGUGGGGGUAUGGACCCAGCAUCGUUUACUAGUGAAAAAAUAAUGAGUGUUUACAAGCAGUGCAAUCGCCUUGAAAUACAUCUAUGCAUGGAAUAAUAUGGAUAGGACUGUGGUACUAUUUUGUUGGUUUGCGUACUUCGGUAAUGAUUAAUAAGGAUAGUUGGGGGUAUUCAUAUUCAAUUGUCAGAGGUGAAAUUCUUAGAUUUAUGGAAGAUGAACUUCUGCGAAAGCAUUUACCAAGGAUGUUUUCAUUAAUCAAGAACGAAAGUUAGGGGAUCGAAGAUGAUUAGAUACCAUCGUAGUCUUAACCAUAAACUAUGCCGACUCGGGAUUGGUCAGCGUUGAUUUAAUGACCUGAUCAGCACCGUAUGAGAAAUCAAAGUCUUUGGGUU
rnacentral:rRNA from 1 species